rnacentral:rRNA from 1 species
UGGGGAAUAUUGGGCAAUGGGCGGAAGCCUGACCCAGCAACGCCGCGUGAAGGAAUAAGGCCUUCGGGUUGUAAACUUCUUUUAUUAGGGACGAAGGAUGUGACGGUACCUAAUGAAUAAGCCACGGCUAACUACGUGCCAGCAGCCGCGGUAAUACGUAGGUGGCAAGCGUUGUCCGGAUUUACUGGGUGUAAAGGGCGCGUAGGCGGGAAUGCAAGUCAGAUGUGAAAUCCAUGGGCUCAACCCAUGAACUGCAUUUGAAACUGUGUUUCUUGAGUGAUGGAGAGGCAGGCGGAAUUCCUAGUGUAGCGGUGAAAUGCGUAGAUAUUAGGAGGAACACCAGUGGCGAAGGCGGCCUGCUGGACAUCAACUGACGCUGAUGCGCGAAAGCGCGGGGAGCAAACAGG